UUUGUGAAAUUAAAAUUUGUACUUUUUAUUUUAAAGGUGUUUGGAUGAUUUUUUUUUUUUUUUUUAAGAAAGAAAGAUAGUAUGCUACACGUUUCAUAUAUAUUUUUUUAAAUAAAUUUAGCUGAAAAUAUAAAAUAACUAGACUUUCAAUUUGAAACUUCGGAUACCAAUCAUUAAGUCCUUUACCAUUUGCACUAGGCACGAUCAGUGAAGUGUUUGGACGGCUAAUAACUAAAAGGGCUCAAAAUAUUUAAUAUGUGCUUAAACUUUAGUAGCUUUAUAAUUAUUUACUACUAGAGUAACGCUAGAUUUUUCUUAAUUACUUCAUGAUAUAUUAACAAUCUUAUGUCUGUAGAUCUCUUAUCCUAAUUUUAUUUUUUAAGUCUCU
rnacentral:lncRNA from 1 species